rnacentral:rRNA from 1 species
GCGUUGUGGGGUCGCAGAGAAUAGAGGGAAGCGACUGUUUAUCAAAAACACAGGUCCAUGCGAAGACGUUAAGUUGAUGUAUAUGGACUGACGCCUGCCCGGUGCUGGAAGGUUAAGAGGACCGGUUAAUCAAGCUUUGCUUGGUGAAGCUGAGAAUUUAAGCCCCAGUAAACGGCGGUGGUAACUAUAACCAUCCUAAGGUAGCGAAAUUCCUUGUCGGGUAAGUUCCGACCUGCACGAAUGGCGUAACGACUUCCCUGCUGUCUCAACCACAGGCCCGGUGAAAUUGCACUACGAGUAAAGAUGCUCGUUACGCGCGGCAGGACGAAAAGACCCCGGGACCUUCACUAUAGCUUGGUAUUGGUGUUCGGUUCGGUUUGUGU